GGUCUGGACUUGGCUCAGAUUGAACGCUGGCGGGAUGCUUUACACAUGCAAGUCGAACGGCAGCACGGACUUCGGUCUGGUGGCGAGUGGCGAACGGGUGAGUAAUGUAUCGGAACGUGCCUAGCGGGGGAUAACUACGCGAAAGCGUAGCUAAUACCGCAUACGCCCUUCGGGGAAAGCGGGGUGACCUUUCGGGCUCCUGCACUAUUAGGAGCGGCCGAUAUCGGAUUAGCCAGCUUGGUGGGGCAACGCCCGCCAUAUGACGAUCCGUAGCUGGUUUGAGAGACGACCAGCCACACUGGACCGAGACACGGCCCAGACUCUACGGGAGGCAGCAGUGGGGAAUUUUGGACAAUGGGGGAAACCCCGAUCCAGCCAUCCCGCGUGCGCGAUGAAGGCCUUCGGGUUGUAAAGCACUUUUGGCAGGAAAGAAACGGCACGGGAUAAACACCCCGUGCAACCGACGGUACCUGCAGAAUAAGCACCGGCUAACUACGUGCCAGCAGCCGCGGCACAUGUAGGUGCAAGCGUUAAUCGGAAUUACUGGGGCGUAAAGGCGUGCGCAGGCAGUUCGAAAAGAUGUGAACCCAGUAGCUUAACUUUGGAACUGCAUUUUUAAUCACCGAGCUAGAGUGUGUCAGAGGGAGGUAACUCAUGUGUGCAGUGGAAAAUGCGUAGAUACAGGAGGAACACCGAUGGCGAAGGCAGCCUCCUGGGAUAACACUUGACGCCUAUGCACGAAAGCGUGGGGAGCAAACAGAUUAGACACCCUGGUAGUCCACGCCCCAAACGAUGUCAAUCUCAUUGCUGGGGCCUUCGGGCCUUGGUGAAGCAGCUAACGCGUGAAGUUGACCGCCUGGGGAGUACGGUCGCACAGAUUAAAACUCAAAGGAAUUGACGGGGACCCGCACAAGCGGUGGAUGAUGUGGAUUAUCACGAUGCAACGCGAAAACCUUACCUACCCUUGACAUGUCUGGAAUCCUGAAGAGAUUUGGGAGUGCUCGCAAGAGAAACCGGAACACAGGUGCUGCAUGGCUGUCGUCGCUCGUGUCGUGAGAUGUUGGGUUAAGUCCCGCAACGAGCGUAACCCCUUGUCAUUAGUUGCUACGAAAGGGCACUCUAAUGAGACUGCCGGUGACAACCGGAGGAAGGUGGGGAUGACGUCAAGCUCUCAUGGCUCCCAGGGUAGGGGCUUCACACGUCAUACAAUGGUCGGGACAGAGGUCGCCAACCCGCGAGGGGAGCCAAUCCCAGAAACCCGAUCGUAGUCCGGAUCGGUGGUCUGCAACUCGACUGCGUAGUCGGAAUCGCUAGUAAUCGCGGAUCAGCAUGGUCGCGGUGAAUACGUUCGGGUUCUGUACACACCGCCCGUCACACCAUGGGAGUGGGUUUACCAGAAGUAGUUAGCCUAACCGUAAGGAGGGCGGUUACCACGGUAGGAUUCAUGACUGGGGUGAAGUCAACAAGGCAA
rnacentral:rRNA from 1 species